GUGUUGUGUAGUUGUUGUGUAGUUGUGUUGUUGUGUAGUUGUUGUGUAGUUGUUUUGUUGUUGUGUUGUUGUGUAGUUGUGUUGUUGUGUUGUUGUGUUGUUGUGUUGUUGUUGUGUUGUACAGUUGUUGUGUUGUGUAGUUGUUGUGUAGUUGUGUUGUAGUGUUGUAGUGUAGUUGUGUUGUUAUUGUGUUGUGUAGUUGUGUAGUUGUUGUGUAGUUGUGUUGUGCAGUUGUAGUGUUGUUGUGCAGUUGUGUUGUUGUGCAGUUGUUGUGUUGUUGUGUUGUUGUGCAGUUGUUGUGCAGUUGUUGUGUUG
rnacentral:lncRNA from 1 species